AGAGGCUCGCAGAUGGACCUGGUAGUCGGCUGGAGAGCAGCAUGGAGGCGUCCUGGAGGAGCUUCAACGCUGAACGGGGCUGGUAUGUCUCUGUCCAGCAGCCUGAAGAAGCGGAGGCCGAAGAGUUGAGUCCGUUGCUAAGCAACGAACUUCACAGACAGCGAUCCCCAGGAGUUUCAUUUGGUUUAUCAGUGUUUAAUUUGAUGAAUGCCAUCAUGGGAAGUGGCAUCCUUGGCUUAGCUUAUGUUAUGGCUAAUACCGGUGUCUUUGGAUUUAGCUUCUUGCUGCUGACAGUUGCUCUCCUGGCUUCUUACUCAGUCCAUCUUCUGCUUAGUAUGUGUAUUCAGACAGGUUGAGGCCAAAAGUUGAAAACUAUUACCAUUUAUAGGAUAUAACUGUAAAUAUUGUUCACUGAAGAGCUAAGUAGUGUACUGAGAUCCCAGAAUCAUCUCUAUAUAUGCAAUAUCACAUCCUCUGUGCCAUGAGAAAGAAUGUUCCUAGUAUUCUAGCAUUCUGUUUUCUGUGUUGGGUGUUUUAAAAUCAUGCCACAUUCGGUUGG
rnacentral:sRNA from 1 species